ACUAGAGUAGCACUCGCAUAUCAAUAAGCGGAGGAAAAGAAACUAACAAGGAUUCCCCUAGUAACGGCGAGUGAAGCGGGAAGAGCUCAAAUUUGAAAUCUUAAAGGGUUUCCCUUUACGAAUUGUAGUUUAAAGAAGUGUUUUCUGUUGAGGUUUUGGUAAAAGUUCUUUGGAAUAGGACAUCAUAGAGGGUGAGAAUCCCGUAUUUGACCUUUACUUUCAACUUUGUGAUACACUUUCAAAGAGUCGGAUUGUUUGGGAAUGCAGUCCAAAAUGGGUGGUAAAUUUCAUCUAAAGCUAAAUAUUGGCGAGAGACCGAUAGCGAACAAGUACCGUGAGGGAAAGAUGAAAAGAACUUUGAAAAGAGAGUUAAACAGUACGUGAAAUUGUCAAAAGGGAAGCGUUUGACACCAGUGUUGUUUUUCUGAAAAUCAAUUAAAGAACUGUUUAUGCUAAGUUGUUUAGACUUUAUCAGCUAACUGUUUAGUUUUGAGCUUUUCUUUAAUGCACUUUUCAGUUAACAAGUCAACAUCAAUUUCUUUUGCUGUAAAAAAGCUUGAGGAAGGUGGCUUGAGAUUCGUCUUAAGUGUUUAUAGCCUCUUGCCUAUGCAGUCGGAGAGAUUGAGGUCUGCAGCGUAGAUCCUUCGGGGCUAAAUGCAUUUGUGCUAAGUUAUAGCAUUUUAUAGACAACUUGUUGACUAUGAUUUGUCUUGUAGCUUACUCGCUUAUGUUAUUUUACCUACGCUUAGGAUGUUGAGUCAUCACACAUCUCU
rnacentral:rRNA from 1 species